UGAUGCUGCCAUGGGCUCCAGGCUCCUCUGCUGUGUGACUCUCUGCCUCCUGGGAGCAGGCCUGGUGAAUUCUGGACUCACCGUGACCCCCAAGUACCUGAUCAAAUCAAGGAAAGAGCACCUGACUCUGAGAUGUUCCUCUGACUCUGGACACCGCUCUGUGUACUGGUACCAACAGGCCCUGGGCCAGAGCCCCCGAUUCCUUUUUCAGUAUUAUGAUGGGAAAGUAUAUCAAAAAGGAAACAUAUCAGAUAAAGUCUCAGGAAAACAGUUCAGUGAUGAUGCUCGCUUUGAGCUGAGUUUGACCUCCUUGGAGCUGACAGACUCAGCCAUGUAUCUCUGUGCCAGCAGCCAAGACACAGCACUGCUGAUCAGGUGCUUCUGGGACAAAAACACUCCUGCCCCAGCUCAGGAAGUGGUGCCCAGUGUGUCAGCUGCCAGCCUGCCAGGCCCACACUGGUAG